rnacentral:rRNA from 1 species
CCUACGGGAGGCUGCAGUGGGGAAUAUUGGACAAUGGGGGGAACCCUGAUCCAGCCAUGCCGCGUGUGUGAAGAAGGCCCUCGGGUUGUAAAGCACUUUCAGUGAGGAAGAACGCCUGUUGGUUAAUACCCAUCAGGAAAGACAUCACUCACAGAAGAAGCACCGGCUAACUCCGUGCCAGCAGCCGCGGUAAUACGGAGGGUGCGAGCGUUAAUCGGAAUUACUGGGCGUAAAGCGCGCGUAGGUGGCUUGAUAAGCCGGUUGUGAAAGCCCCGGGCUCAACCUGGGAACGGCAUCCGGAACUGUCAAGCUAGAGUGCAGGAGAGGAAGGUAGAAUUCCCGGUGUAGCGGUGAAAUGCGUAGAGAUCGGGAGGAAUACCAGUGGCGAAGGCGGCCUUCUGGACUGACACUGACACUGAUGUGCGAAAGCGUGGGUAGCAAACAGGAUUAGAUACCCCAGUAGUC